UACGUAGGGAGCGAGCGUUGUUCGGAUUCAUUGGGCGUAAAGGGUGCGUAGGCGGCGCGGUAAGUCGGGUGUGAAAUCUCGGGGCUUAACUCCGAAAAUGCAUUCGAUACUGCCGUGCUUGAGGACUGGAGAGGAGACUGGAAUUCAUGGUGUAGCAGUGAAAUGCGUAGAGAUCAUGAGGAAGACCAGUGGCGAAGGCGGGUCUCUGGACAGUUCCUGACACUGAGGCACGAAGGCCAGGGGAGCAAACGGG
rnacentral:rRNA from 1 species